AGCAGCCGCGGUAAUUCCAGCUCCAAUAGCGUAUAUUAAAGUUGCUGCAGUUAAAAAGCUCGUAGUUGAAUUUCGGGACUAAUAUGUCGGUCGUGCCUCGGUACGUACUGGUAUUUUUGGUUUCUCCCUUCUGACGAACCUUGAUGUCAUCAAUUUGGUGUCUUGGGAAAUCAGGACUGUUACUUUGAAAAAGUUAGAGUGUUUAAAGCAGGCUCACGCUUGAAUACAUUAGCAUGGAAUAAUGAAAUAGGACGUUUGAUUCUAUUUUGUUGGUUUCUAGGAUCGACGUAAUGAUUAAUAGGGAUAGUUGGGGGCAUUAGUAUUCAAUUGUCAGAGGUGAAAUUCUUGGAUUUAUUGAAGACUAACUACUGCGAAAGCAUUUUGCCAAGGAUGUUUUCAUUAAUCAAGAACGAAAGUUAGGGGAUCGAAGACGAUCAGAUACCGUCGUAGUCUUAACCAUAAACUAUGCCGACUAGGGAUCGGAUGAUGUUAAUUUUUUAAUGACUCAUUCGGCGCCUUA
rnacentral:rRNA from 1 species